UAUUAAUACAGCUCUGUGUACUGCCACCGGCCUCUUGGUCUAGGUUUCCUUUGACAUGAUUACAUACAAGAAAAGCUCUGUUAAUGUUGCUGUUCAGGGGAUGAUAACUGGCCUCGUCUGCAUCACUCCUGUCGCCAGUUAUCCCAUUCCUUCUCUCUCUAAAUAUCUCUCCAUCAUUAAUUAAAUUCUAAUAUGAACCUAGUUUCAUUAUCGGCUGUAGAAAUAAAAGAAAGAUGGAUCCACAAUUAAGUCCACCAGUGUAUGUUAAGAGGUAAAUUCUCUUCAUGACAUAAACACUGCUGAUUGUACAUGGGUUGGAUUAGUGGAGCCAUGGGCAGCAAUGUGAUGGGAGCAAUGUCUGGUUCAGUGACAUGGUACACCAUGAUGAUAUUGUACGGGACGUCAGCAUUCUUCCAUAGUGUGGAUGACACAUUGGCAGUUUCAAAUGCACGCAGUGGCUGGCCUUCUCGGAGGAAUUCUGUCCGGCCUCCAUGGUAAACCUGCCUUCUAAGGUUGAUGUAUCCACACUCCGCCUACGGUACAGGGUUAAUCCAUAGCCUCACAAAUGGAUGACACAAAGACGGCCUUAGACAAAUGGUCUCCCAGGUUGAAGGAGCAGCUUUCAUUACUGCUUGGAAUGCAGUGUCACAAGCUUAAUUUGUAUUCUGAUAAACCGCAUUGUUGACCUUAGGAUGCAAGAUGACGACCUGGAAAUAGGCGAUGAUGCUGCACACUAUGAAGAAGCCUAUGCAUUCUACUCUGGGGUGAUGGAGAGAGAAUGCCAAAACACGUCACUUGCAUCUGAGGCUGCCUGCCUUGUACACGAGACUGCCUUCCCGUCCAUGUGCGGACAUGGGCAUACCGUGCCUGAACUCGAAUUUGUAAUGGGUAUCUAAUAAGUUCCAGUUUGAUACUCUUAGGGAAUGUAGUAAUACUGGUUACUGCAGUUCUUGUCCAUUUUUAUCAUACUGCUGGCACCGGCGUGCGUGAUGUCAAUUUUCAUGUUGAGAGGAGAAAAAGUUGUAAGACGAUUUCCCAGAAAGAGAAGUCUGAAAUUAUUGUGCGUAAUCAUAACUCAUCUUUUUGCUAAUUUACAGUUACGAAGUAGAAAAUUCACCAGGAUGAGAAUAUCCUGGUAAAGAUAAUCAA
rnacentral:misc_RNA from 1 species